CUCUCCUGGCUCUCCUGGCUUGCCUGGUUCCCCCUGAAUACAAAAUAUGUUUCUGAUGGUCCAGAGUCACCAGCGUCUCCUGGGUGUCCAUCUGGGCCCUUAAAAACGACAGGCAUGCUUUGAAAAAAAUCUGAAUGAAUCAUCUGCAGAGACGACGGUCUUCAUCUGG